rnacentral:lncRNA from 1 species
CGGCCGUGCUGUUUGCAUGCUGCUUUAGAAGACACCAUCCUCAGACCUUCAGCGCUUACCACGUGCUGAGCGUCUUUGCUGUCGCCUCCUGCACGUGCACAGUGGCCCUCCAAAGUCAUCAUUGCUUUACAUGCCAGGCAAUGGAAGCCCAGACAGGGAAACAAGGGGAGAAAGCCAUGUGAAGGUGAGGUGGAGACUUGAGUGUCCUGGGAUACGUCGGCAUCUAUCAUCCAUCAUCUGUCUAUAGGACAAAUGCCAUACGCUGAGGAUGCUGUGGGCAGAGCCGGAAGUGUUUCGCAAACUUCAGCCCUUAUUAUCCAAUCUUGGUGAUUUUUGCAAUUGACCUGCACAAUCUUAACUUACUCAACAUUUUAAAAUGGACAUUUUAAAAGCCUGGUAUUUCUUAAAGAGGAAAGCUAUCCCCAUCACGCAUGGAAAAGGACCGCACUAGAGAUGAGCCUGAGAGGAAGGCAGGCGCCUUCACCGGGGAGAGGAAAGGCCGGCCCCGUGCCCCCAAAUUGCUCUGGGGCUUUGGUGCAUUGAGGCACUCAGCGAGAUGUGACUGCGCUUGGUGAAAAGGGGCUGCUUUGGGCUGAUGCCUGGGAAGAAGGUGACCGUUACGAACUAAAUUUCCCACCCUGAACACAUAGGGUUUUCUUUGUUUGUUUUGUUUUUGAGAUAAAGUCUCACUGUAUUGCCCAGGCUGGAGUGCAGUGGCGCGAUCUCGGCUCACCACAACCUCCUCCUCCUGGGUUCAAGCCAUUCUCCUGCCUCAGCUUCCCAAGUAGCUGGGAUUACAGGCGUGCACCACCACGCCUGGCUAAUUUUUGUAUUUGUAGUAGAGAUGGGGUUUCACCAUAUUGGCCAGGCUGGUCUCGAACGCCUGACCUCAAGCAAUUCACCCACCUCGGCCUCCCAAAGUGCUGAGAUUACAGACACGAGCCACUGUGCCCGGCCCACAGGGCUUUGAAAUGAUUCCAGACACCUCCACAGGUUGCUACGUGGGUGACGCGUUUUGCUGCGCUAAGAACUUGGUGUGCCCCUUCUUCCCUGGAGAAUGUGGCCUCACCCCUUAUCGGACCCCGUCUGCGAGCUCCUGACCCUCACGACUGGACUUCCAUACACAUGCAAACCUGCCAGUGGGACGGACCCUUUGGGAGCUCUGGCUGUGGCCGGCUGCACCCUCGGCAUCUUCUCCCAAAGCUGGGAGCUCCAGCUGUGACAGGUCACCCCGCCAGCCUUGGAGCUACUCUCAGAAGCCUCUGGCCAGCGCUGGAACUGCCUUCUAGGGACCUUACAGCGCUUCCAAGAACGGCUGGUAGAAGGUGCACCUCAAACUGAGGCCUGCUUCCAUCCUAAGUGAGCAAGUAGGCCUUGAUCAUUCUGGAACUGACCCACUGUGGGGUUAAUGGGCUUCGUCUGUCGAGUGUAUUCUCUGUGAGGUUUGGUCUCAUUCUCUCCCUGUUUAAGCACUGGGAACCUAAGGAAAAAACAUCUUUGUGUAGCAAUAAACUGUGUGAUUUGUGAAAUCGUACUUUGAUCAUUUCCUUAUUGUAACCACACAAAACGAUCCCUAACCCCCAAUGUAUUUCUUUCGUGUGUGUGUGUGUGUGUGUGUGUGUGUGUGUCUCGCUCUGUCACUCAGGCUGGAGUGCAGUGGUGUCAUCUUGGC